rnacentral:rRNA from 1 species
UUGAUCCUACGGGGCGCAGCAGUGAGGAAUAUUGGUCAAUGGGCGAGAGCCUGAACCAGCCAAGUCGCGUGAGGGAAGACGGUCCUAUGGAUUGUAAACCUCUUUUGCCGGGGAGCAAAAAGCGGUACGUGUACCGCAUCGAGAGUACCCGGAGAAAAAGCAUCGGCUAACUCCGUGCCAGCAGCCGCGGUAAUACGAAGGGGGCGAGCGUUAUCCGGAAUUACUGGGUGUAGAGGGAGCGUAGACGGCCGUGCAAGUCUGAUGUGAAAACCCGGGGCUCAACCCCGGGACUGCAUUGGAAACUG